rnacentral:lncRNA from 1 species
AUGGGGAAUGGGAAAACUUUGUAAUCCCCAACCAGUUUGUAACCUUCUAGGACUCCCAGGAAUGUAGGAAACUCAUGUAAGGUGAAGAAGGAUGAGGGAAACAAUAGUGUCUUCCUAUUCCAGAAGUCUCAGCACUGAGCUCAGACACACCCAGGUGUACACAGGGAGGGACCCAGCCAAUGGAAUGUCAGUCUUUGUCAUCAGGACUUCAGUUGCCACCCUCGUGAGAGGAGCAAAUGCCACAAAAUUGUCUCAUGGUCCAAGUCAGACUUUGCAACACUAUAAAUCAGCUCCCAGGACAGGGCUCCUCAGCCAGAGUGAUCAUAACACCAUCAAGGAAGGUUUACCAAGCUCCCCAAAAGAUGUCCUGCCAGCAAAACCAGCAGCAGUGCCAGCCCCCUCCCAAAUGCCAGACCCCCAAGUGCCCACCAAAGUGUCCUCCUAAGGCUCCUGUCUCUUCCUGCUGUGGUUCCAGCUCUGGUGGAUGCUGUGGCUCUAGCUGUGGGGGCGGAGGUGGUGGAUGCUGCCUGAGUUCCCAUCACAGACGAUCCCGAAGACGUCAGCGCCAUAGCUCGGGAUGCUGUGGCCAUAGCAGUGGCGGCGGGGGCUGCUGCAGCAGUGGCCAUAGCNNNNNNNNNNGCAGCAGUGGCCAUAGCAGUGGCGGCGGGGGCUGCUGCAGCAGUGGCAGUGGGAGCAGUCAGCAAUCUGGGAGCGGUGGAGGAUGCUGUUGAACUGGUCCCCUCAGUGAACACCAUUAGAGGAAUCAAAAAACCAGUGACCCUGUCCCAUUCUGCAGCUUCUCCCCCUCCAUUGCUCUCAUGCCUCCUCCUUUCCUUCCUGGGGCUUGAAUUCCUGAGAUUUUAGAAGCAUCCAGAGUUGUUUCCUGGGGAAUUCAUUCUGCUGAAAUCCUAAUGGUAAUUGGCCCUGUCAUAGAUACCUGCUUGACCUUUCACCCCAGCCCUAUGCCCUGUCCUCUCACCUUCUAGAAAGCACAUAGGGCAGGAGAGGGGAUCCCAAAACACAAAAUUUAAUGCCUUAUUCAGUCUGACCCACAGGGUUCCUUGGUUGAGAUGGAAAAAUAAAAUGAGUUUACUCAGAAUCA